UACGAAGGGGGCUAGCGUUGUCCGGAAUCACUGGGCGUAAAGGGCGCGUAGGCGGCUUGAUAAGCGUGCGGUGAAAGCCCGGGGCUCAACCCCGGGUCGGCCGUGCGAACUGUCGAGCUGGAGCACUGUAGAGGCAGGUGGAAUUCCGGGUGUAGCGGUGGAAUGCGUAGAGAUCCGGAAGAACACCGGUGGCGAAGGCGGCCUGCUGGGCAGUGGCUGACGCUGAGGCGCGACAGCGUGGGGAGCAAACAGG
rnacentral:rRNA from 1 species